rnacentral:rRNA from 1 species
AGAGUUUGAUCCUGGCUCAGGACGAACGCUGGCGGCGUGCUUAACACAUGCAAGUCUACGAGAAAGAGGUAGCAAUAUCUUGAUUAAAGUGGCGCACGGGUGAGUAACACGUAAGCAAUCUACCCUUGGAUCUGGAAUAACUUCGAGAAAUCGAGGCUAAUACCGGAUGAUGCAGCGGCACCGCAUGGUGAUGUUGUUAAAAUUUCGAUGUCUAAGGAUGAGCUUGCGUCUGAUUAGCUAGUUGGUGAGGUAACGGCCCACCAAGGCUGCGAUCAGUAGCUGGUCUGAGAGGAUGAUCAGCCACACUGGAACUGAGACACGGUCCAGACUCCUACGGGAGGCAGCAGUGAGGAAUAUUGGGCAAUGCCCGCAAGGGUGACCCAGCAACGCCGCGUGGAGGAUGAAUGCCGUAAGGUUGUAAACUCCUGUUAGAGGGGAAGAAUAAUUCCGAUUGCAUCGGAACUUGACUGUACCCUCAGAGAAAGCCCCGGCUAACUACGUGCCAGCAGCCGCGGUAAUACGUAGGGGGCAAGCGUUGUCCGGAUUUACUGGGUGUAAAGGGCGCGCAGGUGGGCUUGAUAGUUAGAGGUGAAAUCCUGUGGCUUAACUGCAGAACUGCCUUUAAUACUUCAAGUCUUGAGUGCGGAAGAGAGAGACGGAAUUCCAGGUGUAGUAGUGAAAUACGUAGAUAUCUGGAAGAACACCAGUUGCGAAGGCGGUCUCUUGGUCCGUAACUGACACUUAGGCGCGAAAGCGUGGGGAGCAAACAGGAUUAGAUACCUGGUAGUCCACGCUGUAAACGAUGAAUACUUGUGUUGGUCCCAUUGGGAUCAGUGGCGAGCUAACGCAUUAGUAUUCCACUGGGGAGUAGAUCGCAGGGUUGAA